UACGUAGGGUGCAAGCGUUGUCCGGAAUUAUUGGGCGUAAAGAGCUCGUAGGCGGUCUGUCGCGUCGGCUGUGAAAUCCCGGAGCUCAACUCCGGGUCUGCAGUCGAUACGGGCAAACUGGAGUACUGCAGGGGAGACUGGAAUUCCUGGUGUAGCGGUGAAAUGCGCAGAUAUCAGGAGGAACACCAGUGGCGAAGGCGACUUACUGGACACAUAUUGACGCUGAGGUGCGAAAGCGUGGGGAGCAAACAGG
rnacentral:rRNA from 1 species